GAGCAGACCACCGAAGCAGCAACAUGUAAGCUGACAACUGAAAAAGCACGUGUGUCCCGAGAAGAGCCCUCAUUGAAGACAAUGGGAGGAAAAAGACUAAGGACCCAGGACCUCUCUGAACAACCACCACCAGGAAACGGAAGCAUGAAACAGAAGAAACAAGAGCUCAGGGCAAGCUCCCUAGAUACUACUGUUGCAUCCAUGCUAGUGUGGGGCCUGGACUCUCAUUGGAGGUCCUAGAAGGAAGCUACCUGGUUUAUUAUUCUGUAACUUUCCCCCUCAGUGUACUCAAAUUUUAAGGUCUGAAUUCGGGUUCCCCAACAGAGGUGGGCAUGGAGGAAAAUCUUUGGUUACUGUACUGAGAUGGAGAAAGACAGGAAAAAAAGAGCCCAUUCCUGCUGAAUGUAUCUGAUGAGGCUGUCUGCUUGCUGGCAGAAUUUAGAUAAAAUGUUCUUGUCUCACCCACAUUUUGCAGACUCAGUUCCUCUUCCCUACUAUCUGGCUUCUGUCUCUAAUUCCUAUGGAUUUACUUUUUUACAGUAUUCAGUUAUUAACUGAGAUGGGACAACAAUCCAUCCUUCUCACCAACUGUGCAACUCCCUUCCAUGCCCACAUACUGACUUGCCUAUUUAAGAACAGAAAUCAUGAGCUACUGUGAGACAGACCAUUAAAGUGGGAGAUUUGCUCAACUAGGGUACUCUUGCUUCUUUUCUCUUAUAUACUUGAUGUUUGCCUCUGUAAGCCCAAAGCAGGAAGGAAACAGUUGGCAUUUGGAAGAGAAUUAAACAACGUACAUCCAGAAAGGCCUAGGGAAUUCUGUAUCUUGUAUGAAACUGAUGAUAGCCGCUACUCACCUGAUAUGCCCUGAUGAGAGAUUGCACUGCCAAGUGGUCCUCCACGAGUUUGUCGACGUUAGGUUGUGCCUCCACCAGGGACUGUGCAUGGGCCAUGGUAGCCAGGGAGCUUCGACUCAGGGAAAGAGGACUCUGGUAGGCAGUGCCCGGAGGGGCUCCAGCAUUG